rnacentral:lncRNA from 1 species
AAGGAAGGUACAUUUCAAAUAUGUUAGUCACCCUUUCAGUCUUCUGUAUUCUGUUCUCCACGUACCGAAGUUCCCCCAAACCUGUCCUCUCAAGAGAAAAAACCCAUGCUGACUCUGGACUCCCUCAGUAACAAUGAAACAUUCUCCCCAAACAUUUCCUUUCAGAAUAGUAUUUGUGACUUUGAUCCAUCCCAAGCAUGGUUAAGAGGGAGCACGGGCAGGAAAGGCCCACUUUCUGGGGUUGGGCAGCCACCCCUGCCCCAGUUUCGGCUCCUGGGAAUCCUCCGACUGGAGAAGGGGAAAGGCAAGGCAGUCCUCCUGGAGGCGGCUUCCUUGGGAGCACCAGCUUCCAGCGGCGGGGAGAGAAGGAGCUCCUGUGGGAGAGGGGGCAGGAUAAAGCGUUUGAUUUAUGAGCGUAGGACGAAUCGCAUCCAGGAGCUGCGCAGCCCUGGCCGCUGCCGGGACGCCCUGCUCCGCGCUGAGCUUGGGGCCAGAAACCAGCCAUAGUCCCCACACUCCGCCGCCGCAGCUGAGAUUUAGCGGAGGAAGGGGCGAGGGAAGGUAGGGAGCAAACCUAUGAAGAAACAUCGCGUUGUCAUUGGAACUUCCAAGCCUUUGCUGUUAAGAGCCAGGUUCUUAAAUCAACCCGCCCCACACACAUGUUGCUUACAUGCUGCGUUUUCUCACGGUCUGUUUUGCCUGAACCCAUCAACAGCUGGGAGAUUAAUCAACCACACUGAAAAUGUGGAGGGAUUUAUGGGGGAGGGGGUUGAAAUGUGGGUGUUUGAAACAAAAGUGUAUAAACAAAUGAAUUGUUGAUAACUUAGUUAUUGACCUGGAGACUGGUAGCUUAUUAAAGAAACUCCGUGUUACUCAUUCCUGGAGUUGGGGGUUUCUGUAGGCACUUUAUUUCUCCACUUUCAAGAGCUUGGGCUUGGCCCAAAUCUUAGACUGUCCAAUUCUGCCUCUAUUACCAAUUUAAAUCUAUGGCUUGAACCUGUGCACUGAAAAUCAAAUCCUUUAAAAAGAAAGAGGAGAAGAAGAAGCAAAAAAGAAAGAAAAAACACUUAUUAGAAGCCCUAGUCAUUUUUUGGCUUUCUGUUUUGUUGCUGUCCAUUGAAGACUUUGAACAUGCCGCCUUAAUAAAUGUAUUAAAAUUGAAAAAAGAGGAUAAAUUGUGACGAAUUUUAUUUACGAAGUUAGACUAAAAGAAGAAAAAGAACCCGUUAUGAGCCUUGAAAAAAGAGGGGGAGAAAAAUAAGCUACUUAUAGCAAAGGAGAAUUUAUUCUACAAAAAAUAUGCAUGACAAUGCAUCCCAAUGUAAUACAAAAAUAAAAAGAAAGUGAAGAUACAAUUAUAUGAUCACUUUCUUGCAGGCCUCAUACUGCUCUCAGGAAUCACAUAAAGGGUUGUUGAGUUAGGUUUAAAACAACUAAAACUCCAAAAUAAUCUGUAAAAGAUGGCUCUGUUUGAAACUGGGUCAGGGAAUCACUAAACAGAAAAUCCUCAACACUUAAAGGAGGGAAGGGGUAGGUCAAGAAGAAAAUAAAAAAUAAACUCCCAAAUAAAAGAAGGCAAAACCACCUGGUCAAAGGAGUUUUUGUUUGGUGAUGCUUUGUUUUGCUUUAAUGUUUUUAGUAAUUCAGAUGCUGCAAGUCGAUUGUGGUGAGUGUGUCUGUAAAAAAGUCUAAGCUGUCAGCUGAAAUAUCUACGGGACUGUCGAGGGAACCUGGCAAACUGGGUGAAACUGCAUCUGAAAGCUGCAGGCAGGAAUCUGUGGAGAAAACGCUAAAGUCCUGCAAAGAGGGGACCUCAAGGGCCUCAGGACUGUCAUUGUUUAGGCCAGCUCCACAGUUCUGGCCCAUUGUUGACAAGCAGUUGGGAACAGUGGGUGACUGGUGCUGAAAAUGUUUCAGAUUUUUCUCAUUGCUGGUUAAAGGCGAGACUGGGAAACUUUGGGAGUCGCCAUUGUGUCCAUUGGGAGCCUGCUGCUGAGAGAGGGCAUUUUGCUGAAAAGUGUAGCCUUCCCUCUCCAGAAGGGCCCCAGAGACGCUAAGGGCUUGCUCAAAGAGCGUCUUCUCUUCCUCGUCCUCCUCUACUUUCUCGGAGUCCUCAAGGCUUUUACAUUUCCCUUCGCUGUUUUGGUUUUCCUUGCACUGGGUCUGCCUCUUGUGCUUCAUCCUCCGGUUCUGAAACCACACUUUCACUUGUCUCUCAGUCAAAUCCAGCAGCGCUGCAAUCUCCACCCUUCGGGGUCUGCAAAGGUACUUGUUGAAAUGAAAUUCUUUUUCCAGCUCUAGAAGCUGUGUGUUGGUGUAAGCAGUUCUCAGGCGCCGCGAUCCCCCGCCGCUGCCAUCGGCGAUUUCCAGGGAUUCUGCGGAAAGGGAAACCAACAAGAGACACACGCACAGUUGGAGGUGGAGGGGUCCGAGCGGGGUUAUUCCACUGGAGAAUAAAUAUAGCAGAAAAGAUCAACUGCAACAAAAUGGCCGCCCCUGGAUGCAGUAGAGCUAUUGUGCUGCCUUUCCUGGGAGCCCAGCCUGGGCAGACCCCGUCUCCUCCAUCUCUAUCGAAUUCAUGCCUGUGGCUCCCCCCAACCUCUUCAUCCGGGAGCAAACUUUAUAUUAGCCACAACACAAUUUAUAAUUAAUGCGUCAGCUGCUUAGCUGAGCAAGAGCGAUCUAUCACUCUUCAUUACUGUCAAAAAGCCAAACUCUAGGACAACUAGACAGGAGGAGGUCAGUUCCAACUCAAAUAAAUCAUCCCACAUUACACAAGUUCGGGAAAGUUUCCCCCCACUUCCUAAAAAUAUAUAUGUCUCAUUGUAGAGCGCAGGAUCCCCUUUCCUCUCCAUCAAACCCACUCCUGAACCCACAGGGGCAGGGACAAGGCAACCAAGCAUCUCUCCCUCUCCUCCUUCUCUCCCAGCCCACUCUCCCCUCCCCCCACAGC